CUUCAAAGAGACAGGUAGCCAAACUGCAAACACGACUUCUUUGAUAGCUGUUCACAUGAGAUACCGGUACCAUUUCAUCAGAACUAUAAAUAUUAUACAGAUUGCAUUUUUGCAGUGAAAUUUGAUAUUUGUUAAUGGAAAACACCGUUUCUCAGUGAAUUCUCAACGGUUGUGCAAUGGUUAUAUAUAGUGUAGAAAAUUCAAUGUUUCAGCGAUGAGGUGCGGUACUAAUUUGUCAAAAUUGCCUAUCAAUUAGUCGAACUCAUCCAAUAAGUACAGUUUGACACACCAUUACUUGCAUUGUAUUGGAAUUCAUAACAAGUAAAAACCGCAGAUAA